UGUAUAAAGAGAAAGAGAGAGUAUAAGUUGGAAGUUGUUAUAUUAUUAUAAAACAAAAUCAAGGGUAAGAACGGACUUGCCGUGAAAUUAGCAUAUUAAUAAGAAAACCGGCGACAACGGUCAGGAUAACAGGACGAAAACGAAUAUAACGUUUGGCUUGACCUCGAAGGAUAUAUAACCUUUAUCGAUCUCCUCGAAUCCUCUGCAUUCCUGAUUACCAAGUCUCCGCAUUUAGAACUCAAUGGAGCGAAACUAAUUGCCUAACGUUACGAACUUUACGAACUCCUAAAGGCCGGAUCCGUUUAGUUAGGUUAGCGACUUUCGCCAUUGUUAUCGAAUCCAUUCGUCGAAAUAAUUCUAUUAUCUACAUUGUGUCUCCCUCAAACUUUUCAAUUUUUCAUCAUAAAGGUUGGGGGGGGGGGGGGGGGGGAAAAGGUGGUUGAAGAGGUGUAGAAGGAGGAGAAGGAGAAGGAGGAGGAGAAGGAAGAGGAAGAAGAGUUCUUUCUGCAUUUUGACAUGAUAUCCCAAGGAGCUUCGGAAUAGAUAACUAUUGAAUAAUAUAUAACUAUUAAUAAUUAAAAGUAAAUAGGAAAAGAGAUAAAAGAUUGGCUAAAGGUAUAGAGAGGUACUCUAAGUUCUGUUAUAAAGAAUUACUAUGAGAUAGUUUUGAAAUAAUAUAAAUUUGUUCUGACCAUGGAUCAUUCUGAAAUAAUAUUAAUCACUGUUAUAAGGUGUUAUAGAAUGAAUGAGUGAAAGAAACGGUGAAAGAGAAAGAGAGAAAGAGAAAGAGAGAGAGAGAGAGACUAGAUUCCUGGCUGGUGAUCGUUCUCUCCCUUCUAACUUGUCAUAUCAAAAACCAGCUAAAAUUAGAUUUAUACUGUCUAUUCGAGGUAGACAUCCCCUGCUGUUUGGUCGAACCAACGAAGUCAGUUUUCAACCACGUUACCACCCCCUUCAAAGGAUCCCCCAUUGGAGUUAACUGAACGAACCACCUCUGAAAGCUCCAUGUCAUCCUAGUCUACUUGUUUACUUUACUUUAUUGUCCAUCAUUUUGAUGCCAAAUUUGGAAAUAUUAUGAAUACGUAUUAAGAUCAUAAUUUGCAUGAAUCUAAACACCAUGUAUAUGCAGGUAUAGGAAGUAAUAUCAUCAAAUUACAAUAAAGAUAAUAAUCAGAAUAUAUCAAUUCAACGCAUGAUGCGUACGUAUGAAUAUUAAUUACAUCGCAGGUGACAUUGUUCAGGCAUACAUGGAUGUUGAGGAGGUUUCCAGAGUAUGUUCGUUGAAAAACAAGCAUUCGAGAGAUUUCGCCGGGAGACUUCCUGGAUUGUGAUUCACUUCCGGGCCGAGAUAUUUGAAGAGGUCGAUGAUCGAAAAAGGAAAGAAUGACAAUGAGAAUUCUAAUGUCAGUACGUAUAAGGAAAAUUAUCAUAAGAAUUCUUUGAUCGGAUGUUACCCUGUGAGAAAAGCGUGGGUGGAAUCCCAACGAGCCGAACAAGAACCGACAACUUCCGACGAGUUUUACUCCGAUCAGAGUAGCAUGAUAUCGGCUAUAGAAUCAACAGGUAAUAUAAAAGCGAUGCCGCCAUCUUGUUAAAGCAGACCAACCGACUACCAAUUCACGAUACAGUACAAAAGAGAGAGACAGAGAGAGAGAGAGAGGGAGAAAGCGAGAGAGAGAGAGAGAGAGAGAGAGAGAGAGAGAGAGAGAGAGAGAGAGAGAGAGAGAGAGAGAGAAGAGAAAAGCUUUCUCGUCGAGGAUGCUUGCCUGCUUCGAAUAUGUGAAUAUAUUUUAUUCAACCCUUUCCCUCGGGCUCAGGAUUAAAUUAUUCUUGUCAAAGGGUUCUCACUUUGAUCCCUUUCAGGGAUCAUCUCAACUAAAUGCAACAGGAACUCGUUCGAUAAUAAAACAGAAAGAAAGAGAAAGAGGGACAGAGAAAGAGAGAGAGAGAGAGAAAUAUAGAAAUGAGGGUGCGAAAGAGACAGACAGAGAGAGAGAGAGAGAGAGAGAGGGAGAGAAAGAAAGAGAGAUAAAAAGAGAAAGGAUAAAGCGAGAGAAAGAGAGAGAGAGAGACAUGAAUUGGCUUUCUUUUUCUCUUUUUCGAAUUUUUAUUAUCAUCGAAACCAAAGAAAUACUAAAUGAAUGUCGUCAUUGUUCAAGAAUAAAAGAGAAAAAAGAAAAGAGAAAGAGAAAGAGAAAAAAUAAAAUAAUGAAGAUUUGCAAUCAUUUCUACCAACACUAGUUAACAACUGGCAACGUGAAAUUUCAAGCAACCACUCGAUACUUCCUGUUAGCCUGUGAUCGAGGGAUCAAACCAAUAGACUACCGAUAGCCCUUUCAAUUAUUUCAACGAUCGACUCGACCCAGUUUCUUACUUACCAAAGAAAAAUCGGAAAGAAACUAAUGAAGAAGAAAGAAAGAUAGAACCAGAAAGAAUAAAAUUCAUUUGAUACGUUCAAAUGUCAGAACUGGAAUGAAACUCUUUAAAUUAAAAGAACUCUUCUCGACAGUCGACAGUCGACAAUCGUCAAUCGUCAAAGGGGAGAAAGCUAAAUAUGCCGAUUGACCUCUUCGACCUUCUACAAACCUGUUCAAGUUUCUAUGAAUGUUUCGUUGGUUCUUCCUAACCCUUUCUCAUUCUCUCUUUGUUCGUCUGUACUUCGUCUACUAUUUCAGUGAUAUAUUAUUUGAAAUAAGAGAGAAAAACGAGAGAAUAAAUAAUAAAUAAUAUAUAUUAAAUAUAGUACAAGACAUAAUCUACGUAUGUAUAUAUGUAUGUGUUUUUAUAUUAUAUACACAUAUGACAUAACCUGUUUCGUUCAUAUAAUUACGUCAUGCUGAGAAAUAGAAAAGGAAAGAGAAAGAAGAAGAAAGAGAGGGAACGAGUGAAAAAGAGAAAGAUAGAGAGAGAGAGAGAGAGAGAGAACGCAGGGAAAUAUAUGAGUACUAAGAAACACAUAAGAGUAUCAAAGCUUUCAAAGUAAAUUGCACUUUCAUGAAAUUCUUUAACAUCAUGACUCCCUGAUCAUUGUCAUCGCCUUCCUUUUGUAUGAAAUUACUUACACAAAGAGGUUAGGAUUAUAUCUUUUUCUAAUCCAUAUUAAAUAAUAGUAAAUCGACACUAAUCGAGAUAUUAAUAAUAAAUAAUGUUAUUGUACGUCA